UGUUGCCCACUAUAGCCUGUCUAUAAAAACUCUGUAAGCCCUUUGUUCAGGGCUCAGAGCUUGGAGUGUUAACUCUUCUGGGCCUGCCGGCGUAAUAAACCCGAGUUCUCCAACUCUCUGAAUGUGGUGCUUGGUUUCUCGAGUACUGGUUUCUGCAACAAUAACAGGUUUCUCAGGAGACAGGUUAACCAGUGGUAGUAAGCUGAAGAUGGCGUGUGGAGGAAUCUUGUGCUCUAACUCCCUAAGAGGUCACUGCUGCUGAGCUGGAAUGUAAUCACACUUCUGCUGUGUGCUGAGUUUUACCUCUGAGGGAAAGGACGGACAUCUGCCGCCAGGCACAUGAGCCCUUGAUAUCAGUAAUAAGUAAUUUCAAACAUAAAGUCAGCUUUUCAAUGGGCUAGCCCAUGUACACUUUUCCUAUCAUCUUACCAUGUAAUUUCCAUGUAGGAUUCUCUUUUCUAACAACUGGGCAUCACUGAGAAAUAAUGAACUUUAGGUAUUUUUCCUCUUUGUUUUCCUCUUGGGUCAGCUGUUUACAUAGUUAUUCUUGGGGUCAUAGUUAUCAAAUGAAGUGACAGCUUUAGUAGCCAAAAUCAAUGUCUCAGGACUCGGAGAAGGACCACAAUUUAAAGAGUUAUGAGUGGGUAUUUGAAAAUGACUUUCUCUUCAUCAGCAUAUGAAUACUCUCGAUUUUUUCUUGUGUUUUUAUUUUUUUUGAGGAAGCUGGGGAGGAGCUGUAAUGUACGGGGCUCUUGCCUUACAUAUGAACUUAUGGCUACUUGCUCUCAAACAACCAGAGAGAAAUAACCAAAGAUUAAUAAAUGCUGCUCAAUUUCA